ACUAAGCUAACAUUAGAUUCUCUCUUUUUCCCCUAUUUGAUUUCCUAAUCCAGUAUGAACCUAGUUCAAAAGAUCUCCACUACAACCCCUGAUUUCCAACCUAACCAUUCAAAGAAGGAAAUCAAGAGAAAAAGGAAGAAAGAAGAUACAAAUUUUCCUUUUCUUUGCAAAUUUCUCCAUGAAAGAAACCAGAUUGGUGCGUAAAAAUUACAAAGCCAAGCCGGACCAUAAAUUGUAGGUUUCAGUUUGAAUCCGGCCAGCCACCUCAAUUGGCAAAAUACCCAAAAAGAUUAACAAGUAAAAACCUUAAUG